UUCCCUUGUGAAGGUCGGUCUUCCUAUGGCAGGCCCAGUUGUUGGCUCCACACGGCCCUUCUGUAAACCCCACAAUGAGGACGCCACUCUACUCUUCAAAGCCAAGGCGACCAUCCGAGGGGCUGGAAGAAACCAGCAAAAGACGUGGUUCUGGGGGGCCAUCCCAGGAUCACCGGUGUUGUGGAGGCGUGGACGGUGGACGGGACUGAUCGAAACGAGCACUCCUAAAUUUGGAUUUUUUUAAAUCAGAUUUGAGGCUCAGAUGCAACUGGAGAGAGCCUUGCAGUUUUGUCGUCGCUGCCUUCUCGUUCUCUCUUUAAAAUUCUCUGACAGUGUGGUGAUGAGAGGGUGUGCCUGUGUUUUACUUCAUCUUGUACCGUUCUUCCUCUUCUGAGAGAGACUGAAAUGCAGUGAAAUUUGAAAAUGAGAACAUGGAUGGAAAAGGGGAGAAAGAGAAAACGAAAGAAAGAAAAUUUAAAACUCUAUUUUUUUUUCCUGGGGUUAAUUUGAAUUGGACCAGUUGGUUUCAUUUUGUAAUACAAAAGAAAAAUUCAGGCCUUCGGGCCCAAGAUUUUCAUUAAAUUCAGCUUUAGUGAGUUCUAAUAA